CAAUUCUUAAAAGCAGUAGAAUCUCAACAUUUGCAGAAAAUCGUUGUUAAAUGCACUUUGGAAAGACAUGAGACAGGAGAAAGAGCACGAAUUAUUCUUAAUUGUUGUGAUGAUUCACAGCUUGUGAAG
rnacentral:sRNA from 1 species